GGGGGCCACAGAAAACUGGACCUUCCUAGCGUACUUGUGGAGAUGCAGGCUGAGGAGGAGUGGAGUCAUGCCCAGCAUGAUGAGAACAUCUGGUUGCUCCUCAGCGAGGCAAGAGAGAAUGAAGCGGCCUUGCAGCGGGAGGAGAUGGCCCAGAAUACUGCCUUCAACCAGUCAUUCCUGGGUGUGCUGGGGUAGCUGGGUCUGGUAGCACCAAUGAUUUGGAUAAACGCCGCAUGGCAUUUGGAAAGAACUUACUCCCCCCACAGAAGCCCAAGUUGUUCCUGCAGCUGUUGUGGGAGACUGUGGACUUGACACUGAAGAUUGUUGAAGUUUUUGCAAUUAUCUCAUUGGGCUUGUCCUUCUACAAACCACCAGAGGACAACAAUGAAGGACUCUCCCUUAAAGGCGGUACAGAUGCUGUGGAUAAACUUCAUCAUGGACCCUCUGGCCGCUCUGGCUCUUGCCACCAACCAGCCGACGGAGUCUCUGCUCAAACAAAAAUCUUGCGGACGCAACAAAACCCUCAUCUCCAGGACCAUGAUGAAGAACAUUCUGGGCCACGCCGUGUACCAGCUUGUCGCUAUUUUUAUCCUGGUCUUUGCUGGUGAGCUUAGGGGAAUCCUCCAUCCAAGUUUAGAGACAUCUGUGUAAUUAUAGAAGAUCUUAGAUUCACUUUGUGGUUCUUUUCUUUCAUUACUUCUCAGGUGAGAAAUUGUUUAGUAUUGACUGUGGCCGCAAUGCUCCCCUGGACUCCCGGCAUCAGUGCAUUACACUAUUGUGUUUAAUGCAUUCAUUAUGAUCCCUAUCUAUGAUACCUACACUGUAACAAAUUGCUGUAAAAAUACAGCAUAUUUUGUACAGUAAUAUACCGUUCUUUGUAAAUACAGCUGAAUACUGUAAAUUCACGUGUUUUUCAAGAACAAAAUAUUAACAGCAAGCUACCGUACAAUCUUACAGCAGAUUACAGUAUUUUUCUGGUUUGGGUUGAUUUGAGUGUGACUGUUGCUGCAGUCGGGCUGCACAGUGGCGUAGUGGUUAGCACUUUCGCCUUGCAGCAAGAAGGUCCCUGGUUCGCGUCCCGGCUUUCCCCGGAUCUUUCUGCAUGGAGUUUGCAUGUUCUCCCUGUGCAUGCGUGGGUUCUCUCCGGGUACUCCGGCUUCCUCCCAAAAAUAUGCUGAGGUUAAUUGAUUAUUCUAAAUUGCCCGUAGGUGUGAAUGUGUGAGUGCUUGUUUGUCUGUAUAUGUAGCCCU
ensembl:lncRNA